rnacentral:rRNA from 1 species
CACGUAGGGUGCGAGCGUUUGUCCGGAAUUAUUGGGCGUAAAGAGCUCGUAGGCGGUGUGUCGCGUCGGCCGUGAAAACCUGCAGCUUAACUGUGGGCUUGCGGUCGAUACGGGCAUCACUGGAGUUCGGCAGGGGAGACUGGAAUUCCUGGUGUAGCGGUGAAAUGCGCAGAUAUCAGGAGGAACACCGGUGGGCGAAGGCGGGGUCUCUGGGCCGAUACUGACGCUGGAGGAGCGAAAGCGUGGGGAGCAAACAGG